rnacentral:rRNA from 1 species
CNGGUCCGAUURRGSCAKGCGAGUCUAGAGGGGUAAUACCCUCGGCGAACGGCUCAGUGACACGUGGACAACCUACCCUCAGAUCUGGGAUAACUCCGGGAAAUUGGAGAUAAUACCGGAUAAUCCGGCAACGCUGGAAUGCCUUACGGUUCAAAGCAUUUAGCGUCUGAGGAUUGGUCUGCGGCCGAUUAGGUAGUUGCUGGGGUAACGUCCCAACAAGCCGAUAAUCGGUACGGGUUGUGAGAGCAAGAGCCCGGAGAUGGAUUCUGAGACACGAAUCCAGGUCCUACGGGGCGCAGCAGRCGCGAAAACUUUWCACU